rnacentral:rRNA from 1 species
CCUACGGGUGGCUGCAGUGAGGAAUAUUGGUCAAUGGACGGAAGUCUGAACCAGCCAAGCCGCGUGCAGGAUGACGGCCCUAUGCGUUGUAAACUUCUUUUGUAGGGGGAUAAAAUGCUCGACGUGUAUGGUUUUGUAGGUACCAUGUGAAUAAGGAUCGGCUAACUCCGUGCCAGCAGCCGCGGUAAUACGGAGGAUCCGAGCGUUAUCCGGAUUUAUUGGGUUUAAAGGGUGCGUAGGCGGUUCGUUAAGUCAGAGGUGAAAUCCCGGGGCUCAACCCCGGAACUGCCUUUAAUACUGUUGGCCUAGAGAGCAGCGGAGGCAUGCGGAAUGCACGGUGUAGCGGUGAAAUGCGUAGAGAUCAGGCAGAACCCCGAUUGCGAAGGCAGCGUACCGAACUGUAACUGACGCUGAGGCACGAAAGCGUGGGGAGCAAACAGGAUUAGAUACCCCUGUAGUC